AGGCCAGUGGCGCAACUGGCAGCGCACCGCUCUCCAAAAGCGGGGGUUGCGGGUUCAAAUCCUGCCUGGCCUGCCA
rnacentral:tRNA from 1 species